GGCUCAGAUUGAACGCUGGCGGCGUGCUUAACACAUGCAAGUCGCGCGUGAAAGGACUUCGGUCCGAGUAAAGCGGCGCACGGGUGAGUAACGCGUGGAUGAUCUACCCAUGAGUUAGGAAUAACGGCUGGAAACGGUCGCUAAUACCAAAUACGCUCCGAUUUCAACUUCGGGGGAAAGGUGGCCUCUGCUUGCAAGCUACUGCUCAUGGAUGAGUCCGCGUCCCAUUAGCUAGUUGGGUGGGGUAACGGCCCACCAAGGCGACGAUGGGUAGCCGGUCUGAGAGGAUGACCGGCCACACUGGGACUGGAACACGGCCCAGACUCCUACGGGAGGCAGCAGUGGGGAAUAUUGCGCAAUGGGCGAAAGCCUGACGCAGCGACGCCGCGUGAGGGAUGAAAGGUCCUCGGAUCGUAAACCUCUGUCAGGAGGGAAGAACCGCCACGGUGCUAAUCAGCCGUGGUCUGACGGUACCUCCAAAGGAAGCACCGGCUAACUCCGUGCCAGCAGCAGC
rnacentral:rRNA from 1 species